GUCUAUUAUGAAGUUAUUUAUAGUCUGGCCUGCUCCCUGACUAUAUAGUUAAAGAGCCGCGGUAAUUUGACCGUGCAAAGGUAGCAUAAUCAUUAGUUUCUUAAUUGGAAACUUGUAUGAAAGGUCUGACAAAGAAAAAGCUGUCUUUAUUAUAAAAAUUGAAUUUAACUUUUAGGUGAAAAGGCUUAAAUAAUUUAGAGGGACGAUAAGACCCUAUAAAGCUUUAUAUAAGUAAUAAUUAAGACUGAAUUUAUAAUAAGAUUAAAAGUAAUUAUAUNAUAUAUUUUAUUGGGGUGAUAUUAAUAAAAGUGAUAUUAACUGUUAAGCGAAAAUACAGAGAUAAAAGAUUUAAAUCUGUUAAUGAUCCUUAUUAUAAAGAUUAAAAGAUCAAGUUACUUUAGGGAUAACAGCGUAAUUUUUUUUAAGAGUUCAUAUCGAAAAAAAAGAUUUCGACCUCGAUGUUGAAUUAAAGAUAUCUGUGUAAAGCAGCUAUUACACAAGAAGGUC
rnacentral:rRNA from 1 species